rnacentral:lncRNA from 1 species
CAGCCUCCAAGGAUCUAACUGUUGGGAAUAGUGUCCCAAAGCCAAUUGUCAGCCUGUUGACGGUUGUACUCUUUCUUGUAUUAGUAUAUGAAUUAUAAAUAAAUAAAAGUUAUUUUAUUAUUUUUCAUCAUAAAUUAUUUCAUCUUCUAAUGAACCUCUAAUGUGUGUGACCCCGCAGGUUCGAACCUAAGCCGGUAGCACAGGAACCAAUUCCUAUAUUAAUC